GAUGACGCUGGCGGCGUGCCUAAUACAUGCAAGUCGAGCGAGCGGCGGACGGGUGAGUAAUGUCUGGGAAACUGCCUGAUGGAGGGGGAUAACUACUGGAAACGGUAGCUAAUACCGCAUACCAUCGGAUGUGCCCAGAUGGGAUUAGCUAGUAGGUGGGGUAACGGCUCACCUAGGCGACGAUCCCUAGCUGGUCUGAGAGGAUGACCAGCCACACUGGAACUGAGACACGGUCCAGACUCCUACGGGAGGCAGCAGUGGGGAAUAUUGCACAAUGGGCGCAAGCCUGAUGCAGCCAUGCCGCGUGUAUGAAGAAGGCCUUCGGGUUGUAAAGUACUUUCAGCGGGGAGGCGUUACCCGCAGAAGAAGCACCGGCUAACUCCGUGCCAGCAGCCGCGGUAAUAC
rnacentral:rRNA from 1 species